UCGAUUUGGAGUUUGUUGCCUAGAGUGAUGGGCUCCGAAGCUAACGCGAUAAAUCGACCGCCUGGGGAGUACGGCCGCAAGGUUAAAACUCAAAUGAAUUGACGGGGGCCCGCACAAGCGGUGGAGCAUGUGGUUUAAUUCGAUGCAACGCGAAGAACCUUACCUGGUCUUGACACCCACAGAAUCUUGCAGAGAUGCGAGAGUGCCUUCGGGAACUGUGAGACAGGUGCUGCAUGGCUGUCGUCAGCUCGUGUUGUGAAAUGUUGGGUUAAGUCCCGCAACGAGCGCAACCCUUAUCCUUUGUUGCCAUCGGUUAGGCCGGGAACUCAAAGGAGACUGCCGUUGAUAAAGCGGAGGAAGGUGGGGACGACGUCAAGUCAUCAUGGCCCUUACGACCAGGGCUACACACGUGCUACAAUGGCGUAUACAAAGGGAGGCGACCUCGCGAGAGCAAGCGGACCUCAUAAAGUACGUCUAAGUCCGGAUUGGAGUCUGCAACUCGACUCCAUGAAGUCGGAAUCGCUAGUAAUCGUGAAUCAGAAUGUCACGGUGAAUACGUUCCCGGGCCU
rnacentral:rRNA from 1 species